GCGGGAAUAGCUCAGUUGGUAGAGCAUAACCUUGCCAAGGUUGGGGACGCGAGUUCGAGUCUCGUUUCCCGCUCCA
rnacentral:tRNA from 1 species